GAUGAACGCUAGCGGCAGGCCUAAUACAUGCAAGUCAAGGGGGUCCCGAGCAAUCGGGAUCACCGGCGGACGGGUGCGUAACGCGUACAGAACGUGCCUUUGGGCGGGGGAUAGCGGCGGGAAACUGCCGGUAAUACCCCAUUGUAUUGGAGGAUGGCAUCAUUUUUCAAUUAAAGUUACGGCGCCCAAAGAUCGCUGUGCGUCUGAUUAGCUAGUUGGCGGGGUAACGGCCCACCAAGGCGACGAUCAGUAGGGGGUGUGAGAGCAUGACCCCCCACACGGGUACUGAGACACGGACCCGACUCCUACGGGAGGCAGCAGUAAGGAAUAUUGGACAAUGGGCGGAAGCCUGAUCCAGCCAUGCCGCGUGAAGGAAGAAGGCGCUCAGCGUUGUAAACUUCUUUUGGACGGGAACAAAACUACUUCUGCGGGAGUAAUUGAGGGUACUGUCAGAAUAAGCACCGGCUAACUCCGUG
rnacentral:rRNA from 1 species